AGAACGAACGCUGGCGGCGUGUUUAAGACAUGCAAGUCGCACGGGAUCACAUGAGUAGCAAUACAAGUGUGGUUUAGUGGCGCACGGGUGAGUAACACGUGAAUUACAUGCCCUUCAGUGGGGAAUAGCCCAGGGAAACUUGGAUUAAUACCCCAUGGUCUCGCAAGAGUAAAGGUGGCCGCAAGGCUGCCGCUGAGGGAUUGGUUCGCGCCCUAUCAGCUUGUUGGUGAGGUAACGGCUCACCAAGGCUACGACGGGUACCUGGUCUGAGAGGACGAUCAGGCACACUGGAACUGAGACACGGUCCAGACACCUACGGGUGGCAGCAGUCGAGAAUAAUUCACAAUGGGGGCAACCCUGAUGGUGCAACGCCGCGUGGAGGAUGACGGUCUUCGGAUUGUAAACUUCUGUCAUCCGGGAGUAAGACCUGGCGGUCAAUAGCCGACAGGGUUGAUAGUACCGGAAGAGGAAGGGACGGCUAACUUCGUGCCAGCAGCCGG
rnacentral:rRNA from 1 species